AUAAAGAUUGCUUUUAUAGAUUUAAAAUUUGAUUAUGAUUUUUGAAUGGUUUAAAAUAGUAUUAUUUAAGUUUAAUUUAUUUUGUGGGCAAUGUUUUAUUACCCCGGUAAUGUAUUAUUUGUAAAAUACUUGUUCCAGAAUAAUCGGCUAGGCUUGUGAAAAUUUAAACUUUAUUUUGUUUUAAUUAUAAUUUUUUUGUGUAUGUAUUUUAUCAAUUAUAGGUUAAAUUUUAAUUAGUUAUUGUAAGGAGUUAUAAUUUUAAGAUUUGUUAAUCGAAUUAGAUUAGUACCUAAUUAGACAAAAUUUAAAAAAGCAGUAGUAAAGUUGUAUUUAAACUGAAAGAAUAUUGGCAGAUUUUCUAAAUUAUCUUUGGAGGUUGAGUAAUAAUUGAGAACCCUCAUUAACUACUUUGAAAUUGGUCUCAUGUAUGAUCGUUUAUUUUAUACUUAAGGUAUAUAAUAAAAAAUUUUUAUUUGUAAAAAUAGAUAUAUAUUUGGUUUAUGUAAGAGUAAAAUUUGACCUACAAUAAGUUGUGUUUGUGGAUUUAUAAAUUAGUUUUAUAAUUAAAAUGUAAAAGACAGUAAAAAAAUCUUAAUGUUUUUUUGAAGAUUAUUUAGAUGUGGUACAAAUCAUCCAUCAAUUGCCCAAAGGGGAGUAAGUUGUAGUAAAGUAGAUUUAGGGGAACCUGAAUCUAGUAAAUA
rnacentral:ncRNA from 1 species